rnacentral:rRNA from 1 species
AAGUGGGGGACCUUAGGGCCUCACGCCAUCGGAUGUACCCUGAUGAGAUUGUCUAGUAGGUAAGGUAAUGGCUUACCUAGGCGAUGAUCUCUAGCUGGUCUGAGAGGAUGACCAGCCACACUGGAACUGAGAUACGGUCUAGACUCCUACGGGAGGCAGCAGUGGGGAAUAUUGCACAAUGGGCGCAAGCCUGAUGCAGCCAUGCCGCGUGUAUGAAGAAAGCCUUCGGGUUGUAAAGUACUUUCAGCGAGGAAGAAGGCAUUGUAGUUAAUAACUACAAUGAUUGACGUUACUCGCAGAAGAAGCACCGGCUAACUCCGUGCCAGCAGCCGCGGUAAUACGGAGGGUGCGAGCGUUAAUCGGAAUUACUGGGCUUAAAGCGUACGCAGGCGGUUAAUUAAGUCAGAUGUGAAAUCCCCGAGCUUAACUUGGGAAUUGCAUUUGAAACUGGUCAACUAGAGUUUUGUAGAGGGGGGUAGAAUUCUAGGUGUAGCGGUGAAAUGCGUAGAUAUCUAGAGGAAUACCAGUGGCGAAGGCGGCCCCCUGGACAAAAACUGACGCUCAGGUACGAAAGCAUGGGGAGCAAACAGGAUUAGAUACCCUGGUAGUCCAUGCCGUAAACGAUGUCGACUUGGAGGUUGUGCCCUUGAGGCGUGGCUUCCGGAGCUAACGCGUUAAGUCGACCGCCUGGGGAGUACGGCCGCAAGGUUAAAACUCAAAUGAAUUGACGGGGGCCCGCACAAGCGGUGGAGCAUGUGGUUUAAUUCGAUGCAACGCGAAAAACCUUACCUACUCUUGACAUUCAGAGAAUUUGCUAGAGAUAGUUUAGUGCCUUCGGGAACUCUGAAACAGGUGCUGCAUGGCUGUCGUCAGCUCGUGUUGUGAAAUGUUGGGUUAAGUCCCGCAACGAGCGCAACCCUUAUCCUUUGUUGCCAGCACGUAAAGGUGGGAACUCAAAGGAGACUGCCGGUGAUAAACUGGAGGAAGGUGGGGAUGACGUCAAGUCAUCAUGGCCCUUACAAGUAGGGCUACACACGUGCUACAAUGGCAUUUACAAAGAGCAGCUAACUCGCGAGAGCAAGCGAACCUCAUAAAGUAUGUCGUAGUCCGGAUUGGAGUCUGCAACUCGACUCCUUAAUGUCGGAAUCGCUAGU